rnacentral:rRNA from 1 species
UACAGAGGGUGCAAGCGUUAAUCGGAAUUACUGGGCGUAAAGGGUGCGUAGGUGGUUUUUUAAGUCAGAUGUGAAAACCCUGGGCUUAACCUAGGAAUUGCAUAUGAAACUGGGAAACUAGAGUGCAGUAGAGGGAAGUGGAAUUUCCGGUGUAGCGGUGAAAUGCGUAGAUAUCGGAAGGAACAUCAGUGGCGAAGGCGACUUCCUGGACUGUUACUGACACUGAGGCACGAAAGCGUGGGGAGCGAACAGG